rnacentral:rRNA from 1 species
UAGUCCACGCAGUAAACGAUGGAUACUAGUUGUCGGGAGGGUUACCUUUCGGUGACGCAGCUAACGCAUUAAGUAUCCCGCCUGGGGAGUACGAUCGCAAGGUUGAAACUCAAAGGAAUUGACGGGGGCCCGCACAAGCGGUGGAGCAUGUGGUUUAAUUCGAUGCAACGCGAAGAACCUUACCUGGGCUUGAACUGCAUGGGAAGUAAUCAGAGAUGAUUGCGUCCUUCGGGACUCAUGUAGAGGUGCUGCAUGGCUGUCGUCAGCUCGUGUCGUGAGAUGUUCGGUUAAGUCCGGCAACGAGCGCAACCCUUACCUUUAGUUGCCAGCACGUAAUGGUGGGAACUCUAAAGGGACUGCCUGGGUUAACCAGGAGGAAGGUGGGGAUGACGUCAAGUCCUCAUGGCCCUUACGGGCUGGGCUACACACGUGCUACAAUGGUGGUGACAGUGGGCAGCGAGACCGCGAGGUCGAGCUAAUCUCCAAAAACCNUCUCAGUUCGGAUUGUUCU